rnacentral:ncRNA from 1 species
GACAGAGGCGCGGGCUUGAUGAGUCCUGCCGGAUGAGGGUGCCGAACCCGCGAUUGCACGAUCAGAUUCCGACAGAAAAGGCAAGACCGCCGAAGCAGCUCCGAUACGGUAUCGGAAUUGCUGGGCGCGUACCAAAUAGGUGCGUGACUGUCACACGGCAUUCAGACAGGAAUGCUUUGUGGAGUGCUGA